AUACGGAGGGUGCGAGCGUUAAUCGGAAUUACUGGGCGUAAAGCGCUCGUAGGCGGCUUGUUAAGUCGGAUGUGAAAGCCCCGGGCUCAACCUAGGAAUUGCAUUCGAUACUGGAUAUCUAGAGUAUGGUAGAGGGAAGUGGAAUUUCCGGUGUAGCGGUGAAAUGCGUAGAUAUCGGAAGGAACGUCAGUGGCGAAGGCGACUUCCUGGACUAAUACUGACACUGAGGUGCGAAAGCGUGGGGAGCAAACAGGAUUAGAAACCCCGGUAGUCC
rnacentral:rRNA from 1 species